rnacentral:rRNA from 1 species
UACGUAGGUGGCAAGCGUUGUCCGGAUUUACUGGGCGUAAAGAGCGCGCAGGCGGUCGUUCAAGUCGCGUGUGAAAGCCCCCGGCUCAACUGGGGAGGGUCACGCGAUACUGAUCGACUCGAAGGCAGGAGAGGGUAGUGGAAUUCCACGUGUAGCGGUGAAAUGCGUAGAGAUGUGGAGGAACACCAGUGGCGAAGGCGACUCUCUGGUCUGUAACUGACGCUGAGGCGCGAAAGCGUGGGGAGCAAACAGG